ensembl:lncRNA
UGAAGCAUUCUUUGGAAGCACAAUGUUCCAUAAGGACACACCAAGGCAAAGUUAUGAUGACUAAAAUCUAGACCAAGAAAAGAUAGUGUAGCUUUGCCCUCAAAGAAAAGUAGCUUAUAAAAGAGAGAGAGAGAAGUGGCUUAUUCUCACUAUUUUCACCCCAGACUUCCAGUUCAUCCUGCCCCCAACCCUCAGCAACUGCGAGUCUGCUCUCUAUGUCUGUGAACCUGUUUCUGUUUUGUGGCUCCGUUCACUUGCGUCAUACUUUGGAAAUCACAUUUCAUCAGGUCGGGGACCACUGAUCCGUUUCUCCCGGUAGAACUGGCCCACACCAGUCGACGAUGGAGACGUCCACAGUGCAGACUGGUCUACACCAAAGCUGAGACAUCUUCCCACCUGCGGGGCUGCCAACAACGAGGCUGGACAGAGGAAACAGGGCUGAGAGUUCGGAAUGGAUGAGGAGCAGAGCAGCAGCCUCUUGGUCUUGGAGUCUAGCUCUGACGCUCACAGUCCCAGGGAGACGCCCCAGCACCUCAUCUCCUCAGAGUCUUGGGGGCUCUGACGUCAAUGAGGGUCCUCGCAGCAGCGCCCUUCUGAGGAAAAUCUGAAUCUCCUUCCAGCCAUCUGGUGGCCUCGGACAACAUCUUUCCCAGCUUCCCUGCUGCUGAGGACACACGAGGUCCCUCUCUGUUUUCAUAUGGGUUUUCUUUCUUUUUUUUUGAGGGGGUGGACUGGUUUGUUUCAGUUAUUUUCUUCUUUAGUUCUGGGCUGCACUGGGUCUUCGUUGCUGCAUGUGGGCUCUUCCCUUGCAGUCUGAGGGCUUUUCUCUAGUUGCGGCGUGCCGGCUCUCUAGUUAAGGUCGGGGCUCAGUAGCUGUGGCACACGGGCUUAGCUGCCCCUUGCCACGUGGGCUCUUAGUUCCCUGACCAGGGAUCAAACCCACAUCCACUCCAUCGGAAGAUGGAUUGUUAACCACUGGACCACUAGGGAAGUGGCUCGAGUUUGCUCUCCACCCACCAUCUCUUUGACCCCAGGCCCUCCUCUCCUGCAGGAGCAGACGGCGGAUGCCAAGUAGAGUCUCCACAGUCAGUUGGUGAGAAAUGCCAGACAAGCCGUGUCAUCUGGGGUACAUGAAAGUCUCGCCCUGGAAGGGACACCACAGGAAACAGCAGCCUCCGUGGAGCCAAGAGGGGGGCGCAGGAUCACCUUUGGGGAGGAGGGAGCUAGUCCUGGGCCUGCGUCCCCGCCACCAGGCUCACCGUCCUCAUCCUGCGGCCUCGCUCUGUCCACGGGCCAGGACUCACUGUAACUUCAUGGUUUUGCUGACUGCCAGCUGCCUUGUCCUUCCUAUUCCCACACCCACGGCCACGUGUGGCCCCCUGGCUGUAGUUCACCUGCCCUCUCCCAGCCCCAGCCCACACAAGGGGAUGGAGAGGGGUGGGGAGAGAGGGGAGGCGCAGAGGGAAGGGCUGCUUCAGUGCCAGGCGCCUGUGAUGGACCCAGAGGAGACUGGAAGGGCGGGAAGAACCCAGGGUGGGGCCGGGCGUCCCAUGAAGCCACCCAGCUGUGAACUCAGGGUCCUGGCAGAACCUCGUCCUGUAGAUUUCAAAGCUCAGGGGGCUGGUGGGUACAGACCCAGGGUGACACUCUACAAUCCGUGAGCUGCAGGCACUAGUCACAUUAGAACCCCUAAAGCACUGCUAUGCUCCACAGCUUUACUUUGCAAAGGGAGAUCUGAGGCAAAGGACCUGAGCUUUCUCUGGCAUACAUUUUGAAUUGCACUAAAAUUGGGAGAUUUUUCCCUUUCUAUUCACAGCCUGUCCCGAAAGGAUAAACACCUCAAGAAAGAUCAGUAGCUUUGGGACGCUGUGCAGUGGGAACAUUAUCAUUCAAAACUUAUGCUUCUUCCACCUGCCAAUGCAGGGGUAUGGUUUCGAACCCUGGUCCAGGAAGAUCCCACAUGCCUCAGGGCAACUAAGCCCGUGAGCUGCAGUGCCUAAGCUCGCUCACCAUAGACCCCGUGCUCUGCAACCAAAGAAACCACCACGAUGAGAAGCCCAUGAACCACGAGAGUAGCCCCAGCUCGCUGCAACUAAGAAAACCCGAACACAGCAACCAAGACCCAGCGCACCAAAAACAAAUACAGAAACCAUUUUUUAAAAGUGUGAUUCUUUGUUCCCAAGCGAGUCUCUUUUCAAAGAUAUUUAUAACUUAUUUAAUGUUAAAAUAAACACAAAU